CUGAGGCCGGGCUCCAGCUCCGCGGCUCCCGCCGGCGCCGGCCCGGUGGCUCUGCUGUCUUGGCUGCAUCUGUCCUGCAUAUUUAUGAUCGUCUGUCACAUUCCCUGUCCGUGGACAGUGUCCAAAGCCUAGCUCGGGGGAGCGUGCCAACAGACCUGCUUAGACUGGAGCUCAGGGGUGAAGCAGCACUACAAGAUUUCUCAGCUUCAGACCCUUUCUCAGAGGGCCGCACCACACUCAAACUAUGAUUUGAAUUCAUAGUGGGCAUUCACUCAUGGCUGUCCGAGGGUAUAGCAGAGUGGAGACUUGCUUAAGCAAACUGAAAUGGAGACCAGACCCGGAAAUUUCCCUAGCUAAUGAAGCCGGUUCUACCUUGAAAAUAAACUUGCUAAGAUAGAAAACAUGA